ensembl:lncRNA
CCUGUGCUACCCUCAUCAGGUCACCUAUAUAAGGUCUAUCCUUUGUUCAUUUUGGUUGUCCGAUAUUAUUUGUGUUUCAGCUUGUGGAGUACACUGUGAUCUUCGUUCUUGGAUAUCUAUUAAAUAUUGAAAAGCUAAUCUUCUUAUGUGCCUUCUCAUUACCAGAGGCAUGACAGGAUAUCGGACCUUAAAGCAAGAUGAAUUAUGCUGAGGACCAGCUAUGGUGCCUGCUGCACGGUGGUCGGCCUUUGGAGAAGUAUGUGGAGGAAUUCAUCAAGCUCUCCUAUCUGGUAGAGGAAAUUAGACAAGAUAAGAGCCGUUCUAGUCCAGACUCUUCUGUGAACCUCUGGUCCUCGCCAGCUUACCCCAGGCCGGUAUCAUCCACAUGCCUGGCCAAUGGCUCUGACCACCCCUAUCCUCCUGUGUUUCCCCGAGGCUCUCCCAGAACCAUUCCAGUCCUGAGCCUAGAACCAGCGGCUGCUCCACUCUCAAGCCCACCAACCGCUCCACUCGCAAACCUGCCGGCCGCUCCACUUUCCAGACCUAUGAUAAUAUCAGCCUUUUCUUCAACCUCAGCCCAAAAGAGGAGGAUGAGGAAAAGGCGGUUUUCAGUCCCGAUGCUCACUCCAAAGUUCGCCCCAGAAUGUUCGGCAGAGCUCAACCAGAAGCCCAGCCCUCCUUUGUCUCUGCUGGUCCCGUUCAGCUCACCUUCAUCUCCGCUGGUCCCGCCAGCUUUCCUUAAUCUCCUUCAUCUCCUUCGCCUCAGCUGGUCUUGUCCAGCCAUCCUUCAUCUCAUGAGCCUCCUGCGUUAGCCAGCUCCGCUCCUCCAGAGCACCCUCCAGUGCCCAAUCCUCCAGAAUCCCUCUGGGCAUGGAAAUGCCUAGUUUUCCCCAAGAAAAUAUCCUUUAUAUAUCUGUUGCCAUAGUGGCCAAGGCAGGGAACCUGGACAAGGCCACGAAGGCUACUCCAUGGCCUUCUGAACUCCCUGAUCUGCCCUGGAGGCCUUCCUUGUCUCCGCCCUUUUCCUACCCUGCACCAGCCUACAGGAUGCCCGCUCCCCACUCUCCGUUGGAACUGUUAUGGCGCAGGACACGCCUUCUGGGAGGGGGGUGAUAUUUCACGUUUGAGUUCCUGUUCUGUUUAGUUCAUCUCGUUUAGUUCAUUUGUCUCAUUAGUUAACCUUCCUCACCUGUGCUACCCUCAUCAAGUCACCUAUAUAAGGUCUAUCCUUUGUUCAGUUUG